rnacentral:rRNA from 1 species
GAUGAACGCUGGCGGCGUGCCUAAUACAUGCAAGUCGAGCGAAUGGAUUAAGAGCUUGCUCUUAUGAAGUUAGCGGCGGACGGGUGAGUAACACGUGGGUAACCUGCCCAUAAGACUGGGAUAACUCCGGGAAACCGGGGCUAAUACCGGAUAACAUUUUGAACCGCAUGGUUCGAAAUUGAAAGGCGGCUUCGGCUGUCACUUAUGGAUGGACCCGCGUCGCAUUAGCUAGUUGGUGAGGUAACGACUCACCAAGGCAACGAUGCGUAGCCGACCUGAGAGGGUCAUCGGCCACACUGGGACUGCGACACGGCCCAGACUCGUACGGGAGGCAUCAGUAGGGAAUCUUCCGCAAUGUACGAAAGUCUGACGGAGCAACGCCGCGUGAGUGAUGAAGGCUUCGGGUCGUAAAACUCUGUUGUUAGGGAAGAACAAGUGCUAGUUGAAUAAGCUGGCACCUUGACGGUACCUAACCAGAAAGCCACGGCUAACUACGUGCCAGCAGCCGCCGCCG